rfam:Haemonchus placei strain MHpl1 genome assembly, scaffold: HPLM_scaffold0000010
GGCCCAGAAUUGAAGUAGAGUAGAUUAGAAGGAUCAUCUGGCCCUACUUAACCACUCUACUUCGAGUUUGUGCCC